rnacentral:misc_RNA from 1 species
GAUGAAGAACGGAGCGAAAUGCGAUACUUGGUGUGAAUUGCAGAAUCCCGUGAACCAUCGAGUCUUUGAACGCAAGUUGCGCCCGAAGCCAUUAGGCCGAGGGCACGCCUGCCUGGGCGUCACACGUCGUUGCCCCCCCAUCUACUCCUUCGGGAUUGCGGGGGGCGGAUGAUGGCCUCCCGUGCGCCUCGCCGCGCGGUUGGCAUAAAUGCCAAGUCCUCGGCGACGCACGCCACGACAAUCGGUGGUUGCGAAACCUCGGUUGCCCGUCGUGUGCGGUCGUCGCGCAUCGAGGGCUCGAAAAAAUUGCCGGGUUCCGGCUCGGCUUUCAACGCGACCCCAGGUCAGGCGGGGUUACCCGCUGAAUUUAAGCAUAUCAAUAAGCGGAGGA